CAGCAGCCACGGGAAUACGAAGGGGGCUAGCGUUACUCGGAAUUACUGGGCGUAAAGGGCGCGUAGGCGGCACUGUUAGUCAGGCGUGAAAUUCCCGGGCUCAACCUGGGGACUGCGCUUGAUACGGCAGAGCUAGAGGAUGGAAGAGGGUCGUGGAAUUCCCAGUGUAGAGGUGAAAUGCGUAGAGAUCGGGAGGAACAUCAGUGGCGGAGGCGGCCAUCUGGGACAACACUGACGCUGAGGCACGAAAGCGUGGGGAGCAAACAGGAUUAGAGACCCCAGUAGUCCCUGUCUCUUAUAC
rnacentral:rRNA from 1 species